AUUGAACGCUGGCGGCAUGCCUUACACAUGCAAGUCGAACGGUAACGCGGGGCAACCUGGCCACGAGUGGCGAACGGGUGAGUAAUGCGUAGGAAGCUGCCCGAUAGAGGGGGAUACCAGUUGGAAACGACUGUUAAUACCGCAUAAUGUCUACGGACCAAAGUGUGGGACCUUCGGGCCACAUGCUAUCGGAUGCGCCUACGUGGGAUUAGCGAGUUGGUGAGGUAAUGGCUCACCAAGGCGACGAUCUCUAGCUGGUUUGAGAGGAUGGUCAGCCACACUGGAACUGAGACACGGCCCAGACUCCUACGGGAGGCAGCAGUGGGGAAUUUUGGACAAUGGGCGCAAGCCUGAUCCAGCCAUGCCGCGUGCAGGAUGAAGGCCUUCGGGUUGUAAACUGCUUUUGUACGGAACAAAAAGACUCUGGUUAAUACCUGGGGUCCAUGACGGUACCGUAAGAAUAAGCACCGGCUAACUACGUGCCAGCCGCCGCAGUAACAC
rnacentral:rRNA from 1 species